rnacentral:rRNA from 1 species
AUUGAACGCUGGCGGCAGGCCAAACACAUGCAAGUCGAACGAGUGGCGGACGGGUGAGUAAUGUCUGGGAAACUGCCCGAUGGAGGGGGAUAACUACUGGACACGGUAGCUAAUACCGCAUACCAUCCGAUGUGCCCAGAUGGGAUUAGCUAGUAGGUGGGGUAACGGCUCACCAAGGCGACGACCCCUAGCUGGGCUGAUAGGCUGACAAGCAACACGGGAACGGAGACACGGUCCAGACUCCUACGGCAGGACGCAGUGGGGAAUAUUGCACAAUGGGCGAACGCUUGAUGCGGCAAGGCCGCGUACAUGAAGAAGGCGCUCGGGUUGUAAAGUUCUUUCGGUCGCGAGGCGUUACCUACCGAGGAAGCACCGGCUAACUCCGUGCCAGCAGCCGCGGUAAUUC